AUGGAGAAGAAGAAGGCGGCGGUGCCGCUUGUCUGCCACGGCCACUCGCGGCCGGUCGUCGACCUGUUCUACAGCCCCGUCACGCCCGACGGCUACUUCCUCAUCAGCGCCAGCAAGGACUCAAAUCCAAUGCUUCGUAAUGGUGAGACUGGAGAUUGGAUUGGGACUUUCGAAGGUCAUAAAGGUGCUGUUUGGAGCUGUUGCCUUGACACAAAUGCUCUGCGUGCUGCCUCUGGUUCUGCAGACUUUUCAGCUAAAGUAUGGGAUGCACUAACAGGCGAUGAACUACAUUCAUUUGAACACAAGCAUAUAGUCCGUGCAUGUGCCUUUUCUAAGGACACCCACCUGUUGCUUACUGGAGGUAUGGAAAAGAUUUUGCGUGUAUACGAUUUGAACAAACCAGAUGUUGCUCCGAAAGAACUUGACAAAUCACCUGGUUCUGUCCGAACUGUUGCUUGGCUUCAUAAUGACCAAACUAUACUGAGUUCCUGCACUGAUACGGGUGGAGUAAGGUUAUGGGAUGUGAGGAGUGAAAAAAUUGUCCAAACUCUUGAAACCAAGGGACCUGUUACCAGUGCAGAAGUAAGCCAGGAUGGCAGGUUCAUCACCACAGCUGAUGGCUCAAGUGUAAAGUUUUGGGAUGCUAAUCACUUUGGGCUUGUUAAAAGCUAUGAUAUGUCGUUUACUGUGGAGUCAGCUUCACUUGAACCAAAGUCCGGGAGCAAAUUCAUUGCUGGAGGAGAAGAUAUGUGGGUUCAUGUAUUUGAUUUCCUCACUGGUGAAGAAAUAACCUGUAACAAAGGGCAUCAUGGUCCAGUUCACUGCGUCCGGUUUGCACCUGGUGGCGAAUCAUACGCCUCAGGGUCGGAAGAUGGUACUAUUCGGAUCUGGCAACUGAGCCCAGCUAAUGCGGAUGCUGAGGAGGCGGUCGAUACAAAUGGUAAGCCGAAGGCUGGAGUAGAGGAGAUUGCAUGUAAGGUCGAAGGCUUCCAGAUUGCCAAGGAGGGGAAGGCCGAGGAGUAG
rnacentral:rRNA from 1 species